UACGAAGGGGGGCUAGCGUUGCUCGGAAUCACUGGGCGUAAAGCGCACGUAGGCGGAUCUUUAAAGUCAGGGGUGAAAUCCCAAGGCUCAACCUUGGAACUGCCUUUGAUACUGGGGAUCUCGAGUCCGGAAGAGGUUGAUGGAACUGCGAGUGUAGAGGUGAAAUUCGUAGAUAUUCGCAAGAACACCAGUGGCGAAGGCGGCCAACUGGUCCGGUACUGACGCUGAGGUGCGAAAAGCGUGGGGAGCAAACAGG
rnacentral:rRNA from 1 species